GUCACUCAUUGGUCACUCAUUGGUCACUCAGGGUCACUCAGUGGUCACUCAGGGUCACUCAGUGGUCACUCAGGGUCACUCAGGGGUCACUCAUUGGUCACUCAUUGGUCACUCAGUGGUCACUCAGUGGUCACUCAGGGUCACUCAUUGGUCACUCAGUGGUCACUCAGGGGUCACUCAGUGGUCACUCAGUGGUCACUCAGGGGUCACUCAGGGGUCACUCAGUGGUCACUCAGGGGUCACUCAGGGGUCACUCAGGGGUCACUCAGGGGUCACUCAGGGGUCACUCAGGGGUCACUCAGGGUCACUCAGUGGUCACUCAGGGGUCACUCAGGGGUCACUCAGGGUCACUCAGGGUCACUCAGUGGUCACUCAGGGUCACUCAGGGGUCACUCAUUGGUCACUCAGGGGUCACUCAGGGGUCACUCAUUGGUCACUCAGGGGUCACUCAGGGGUCACUCAGGGGUCACUCAGGGUCACUCAGGGUCACUCAUUGGUCACUCAGUGGUCACUCAGUGGUCACUCAGGGUCACUCAGGGUCACUCAGUGGUCACUCAGUGGUCA